GCGGUAUUGACACUGCAGCAAUAUGACGACCGGUAUAAAACACUUUAUUUUAUUUCUGUUAAUAGCAUGCACAAACGGAGACGUCUAUAAAAUCAGUAAGAUAUUAUAAUAUUACAUUUUUUUUAAAGAAAAAUACAUAUUUUCUAUAGGUAAUAGAUAAAAAUCAAAUAGUUAAUCGUAUACUUUUACUAGUUUUACUGGAGUAAAAUUCUCUUGAAUGAUACCCAACAUGAAACGUAUUUCAGUAGAAUAAACUUUGAAUGAAAUUGACUGGUUUGUUUUUAAAGGAAGAUCGGAAAUACCGAAAUGCACAUAUUUUUAUUGAACUAACAUUGAUUAAUAUAUUUUUUUUCUACAUCAAAAAUCGCUUGAGAUAUUACGGUCAUUUAAAGAUUACAAAAAAAAAAAAUAAGAUUUUUAAAAGAAUGUACAACAUAAUGCAUAUCAAUAUUAUUAUAUACCAAUAAUUAUUUCUUAUCAUUUUUUCCCCACAAAUAAUAGUCAAAUCUCUUUGAAGUCAUGCGUUUUAAAUUUUUUGAAAAAUCAAAUUUAUAUAAAUUUUAGUUAGGUACUCAUAGAGGUAUAUCAUAUCUCAGGCGAUUUAUAAGUUUUGAAAAAACGGAAUAAAAAGUUAAAAACAGAAUGACAGAUGUUAUAAAAAAUAAGUGUUUCUGUUUCAAAAAUGUAAGUUUUAUUGCCCAUGACUACGCCACGGAGGUUUAAAUGUUUAAAACAGACUAAAAAUGUGUAUUUUUAAACUUAGAUUUUCCCAAAUAAAAAAAAAUGCGUAUGAUAGUUUGAGUGAGACACACUGCGCAGUAUAGGUACCUUUAUAAUAUAUAGAACAUAAAAUACGAUUUACAAUAGUUUAUUACAAUUACUAAAUAUGCAUCGCAAUAAAUAUAAUAAUACAAAUAAUGUAUUUACAUAAAGUUUUGGCUCUACAUUAAAUUUACCUUCAAAUUACUAACACAAUGCAAUGACGACUAUUAUGGGAUAAAAAAUGUAAAAUAUAUUAAGAGCUAAAAUUAAUAGCGUAUUCCCAGGUACAUACUAAAGGUCAGUAUAUUAAUACUCCCAAAUUUCAUGUUACCGUCAAACUGUCCAAGAAAUAUUUAUUUUUUGAAACAAUGACUGAUGUAAAGAUUUUUUUAGAAACGUAUAUUCAAAAAUCUAACACUGUUCUUAUUUUUUUCACCAUUAUUUUAAUCCAUUAUCCACAUGUGAUUUUAAAAUUGAAAUCUAUAUUAAAAAUCCACAAAUAUAUGAAGUUUUAAUUUAAAUACAAUUUUAUGUUUAAUUUUUUAAUUUUCGUCGACUCGUUAACGAGAUAUUCCACUUUAUGUUUUAGUGGAGGAAGCUGAGUAGUGUAGCACUAAUCAAACUCUGCGUGCUGCCACACAAAUUAUGUUCUACUACUCUCCCCCACACAAACCUUAAAGUAAAAUACCUCGUUAACGGGUUGGUGAAAAUUAAAAACGUCAAUCUCUCAAUGUACCUAUUUAAACAAAAACGUCAUAUAUUUAUAGAUUUUCAAUAUAGGUUACUAUUUUAAAAUUAAAAAUGGGUGGUGAAUUUACCAGCAAAAUAAUAUUCAAACAAUAACAACAAUAUAAAAUGUAUAGAAGGUUUUUUUUUUAAUAUAUAUAUAUUUGAAGAAAUAAUUACACAUUAUCUACCUACGUUUUAUACAAAAAAAUGUCAAGGCUUUAUUAUUUUAAUUUUUUUUUAAUUACAACCCUUGUUUUAAUUCUAUUUCAAGCUACAGAAUACAAUCAUUACUAUCUAUGGACUAUAAAAUAAUUUAAAAUAGUGUACUUAAAAGUGAACAAAAAAGUAAAAUUAAUAGUAUUGUAAUAAAGUAUUCUGAAUAUUUAACAAAAUCUUUUUUCAGAAGUAUUCAAUACUAUAUUCCGAAUAGUUAUAAAAUAUAUUUUACUUGACUAAAAUAAAAAUAAUAGUUUCACGAGAAAUCACGAGUGACAAGCACUGUGUAGUUGUAUAAUUUUCAUGGCAGUAGCGGAUUUAAAGGAGAGACCCGAGGUAUUGGUCUAAAUUAAGUUUUAUUAAUUUUAUAGUCACAGGUAAUUUUGUAUCAAGUAUUGUUAAAUAUGUAUGUAACAAUAUAAUAUUGAAAGUGUGACAAAAUUAUACUUCUAUUUCGUAACCAUGGGUAAUUUAUCAAAACCAGAUUUUAUAGCUUAUCUGAAAAGACUUGCCGUGUAACUUUCCCACCGAUCAUCAGUAUCUUAUUCUAAUUUAUGUCACGCGUUUAUAAAAUAGAUUUAGUCUUAAAUUUAUAUUAUCUUAUUAAAACGCAUAAAAUAUAUAUUUGAGAACAACAAUGGGAGAAAACCGUUUAAAUGGUUUAGCUUUGCUCCAUAAACAAAUUGAUGUAAAACCUGAAGACGUAUUAAACAUGUUUUCAAAAUCUAAUCUUAGGCGAUUACAAUCAUCUUUAUUGUUAUAAAUUUUAAUCAUUAUUAAAUAAAAAAUUCAUAUUUAAAAUUAUGUCUAUUUGCUUGUUACUAUUAAUAAUAAACUAUUAGUAACUAUUAAUAAUAAUAAUAAUAUUAAUAUAAACUAUUAAUAGCUAUUAAACUAAAUACAGAGCAGUGAAUUACACUUUAAAGACUUGACAAACAAAUCGAAGUCUGCACGAUGACACUGGGUUUGUGAUUUUCAGAAACGAUAAUAUUAUAUUCAUUGACCCGUAGUAGUUAAUUUUUCUUCGAUUUUAAACCAUAACUAACGAAAAAACGAUUCUAAGCGGAAUUCGCUCCCCUCAGAAUCUAAAAUAACAUGUUUCAAUAUUAUUUUCCAAUGAUAUCAAGAAUUACUUUGCUGAUCGAACUAGUAUAAUUUGCCUAAUGACUUUUACAGCUAAUGAGAACGCCAUUCACUAUGAUCUAUUUUAAACUCAAAGAAUGUUCAAAAUGUUUAACUUAAUUUGUUAUUAAUACGAAAAAGGAGUAAAAAAGAGCAAUAAAUUUGAGGGAAAAAACCUGACUAUUUCGUUCAAAGUGCAUUAACAACAGGAAACACAAAAAACUAAACAGAAAUAAUUUUUAACCGUAAUUUAUUAUUCUCCAAUUAAGCAAAAAAUAAUUAUUAAUUUAUCAUUCAGUACAGAGAUUCUAAAAUCGGUUUGGGGAACUGUUCCCUUUAUCUUUUAUUAGACUAUUAGACAUUUAUUACAACAUAAAAUUAAAAUUUAACUUCCCUUCAUUCAAAAUAGUUGGCUUCAUUUUUUAUUCUUACUACUUAGUAUUAUACUCGGAGAAUAAAUAUUUAGAUAAACGCGUAUUUUUCCGCUCCCGCCAUCUGAUCUCUACCAUAGCUUUUGACAAUAGCAUACCUAUUCAGGUAUACAUAUGCACCAUAAAUAGCUGAAAAUAAUAUUAUAUUAUAUUCGUUCAUAUUUCAUAUCCUAUUUGAAAUAAACAAAAAUUCAAAUUUCAAGACACAAACAAUUAAAUAUAUGCGAAAUACAUUUAUUUUUAUGUUAAUUAAUUCAAAGUUAUAAUACUCAAUAUACUAUGGAAUAAAUUAUUUAUUAUUUUAUUAUUAUACUUAGAUACUUAAUAGUUAAUUGACCUAUCUAAUGUGUUUUCAUGAAAAAAAAAAAAAAUUAAAAAAAUAUACCAAAUUUUUUAUAGUCCUCCUCCUUGUGAGUAACAUAAAAAAAAAACAGAAUUCAAUUAUCUAUAUUAUUAAAGAUUUUUAAAUUUGGAGAUUUUCAAGGGGUAUAUUCGUGGGACAGCCUAUAUAUGGCUAUAUAUGCGAUCAAUUAUUUAACUACUAUUCAUAUAGGUAGUUUACUUGCUCCUCGUAUUAUUUAUUAGUAGGUACUUAGAUAUAAAACGCGUAAAAAAAAAAACUCCACAAUAACACCGGAACAGCGACGUGUAUUAAAUACACGAUUUUCUAUAGACCAUGAAAAAUGCACACUGAAAUAAUAUAUAAAGACAAAUUGCCAAACUAUUUGACACCUACGUAUAAAAAAACUGUACUAGGAUAAUGGGAUCAGGUGUAGCCACUGUUAUAGGCAAUUUAAUAUGUACCUAACGAAAAAACGAUUCUGAGCGAAGUUCAUUUGAUAGUGUUACCUUGUCAACAACAUAUAUGACAUAUGGUAAAAUAAUUAAAUAGACAUUGUACAUUUUCUUUAAUUAAAUUGUUUAGUGUACCCGUUUUCCCUCCAUAUUUUUUGGUUUUUCACAUUCGAUAUGAAAACAUUGACCUUCCCAGUCCGAUUUCCUUUUAGAAAAAUUGCCACACUUAAAAAUCGGAGCAAGAUUUCUGGAUAGAAAAGUCACUACAGAUAAAAAAAAUAAAAUAAACAUCUUUGUAAAACCAUAAGCUCCUUCGCUCCACUCAGAAUCUAAAAUUAAAUAUAUGAAUAAUAUUCUCGUGAUCAUAAAACGAAUUUGAAUCUCGGUUAUAGCUAUAAAUUAGAUGCACAGAAAAAAAAAACACCAAUAUCCUGCAAGUUAUAUGUGCCCUAUAAUCAUUAUUACCGUCCAAUAACAUUAAAUUCAAUAAUAGCGCUUAAGAAGGUAUAGGUACUAAAUUAGAAAUUUUAUAGCUUGAAUGAUAAUCGAGAAAAAAAUACCUGCGAGAAAAAAAUGGUACACCGUAUAAAUAAAUACAGUUUUUACCUCCUUUUCUAUUUUAGAUUCUAAAGUGAAUCGAAAAUGACAUUACUCGUAUAGAUGGUUUUAAACACAAUUUUUUUUCUCAGUUCAUCGUGUUUAUUAUAUAAUAAUCAAUAAUAAUCAAUUUCAAUAUUGUUUAUAUAUUAUUAACCUAAUAUUUAUUAUUAUUCAUUAUCUUAAAUAUACUUUUUAUCAAGCAUACAUGGAUAAUUUUCAGUUUAAACUGUUUACGAAACAUAAAAUGCAUAUAAUUUCACUAAGUAAUAAAAGACCAACAAUUAUUACAUCAUUAACCUAUACAUUAGUAACUUAAUAAUUAUAUAAUUUUGUAUUUUUAUAAAUACUUGAAAAAUAUUAAAUACUAAUUUUCUAGCUUGAUCAAAAAUAAAAAAAAAGAUAAAUUUCAGAAAUAAAAUUGAGCUGAUACUAAUGACGCACCACUGUUGUGAGUGGGAAGUUAGAAAGGUAGAAUGAAUAAAGAUAUUUAAUUUAUAUCUGUAAGCAAUGAUACAACAUUGCCAACUAAAAACGAUUUUAAGCGAAGUUUAUUUAUACAUAAUUUGAAAGGCUAAUAUUAAUAUUUUAAUAUUUACGAUUUCAAUCAAAAAACCAUUGUAAAAAAAAAUUAUUACAUUACAAUCAACUUUUUUUUUUUUUUCACGAAGUAUAACAUAUAACUGUAUAACAGUAUAACAUGAACCUCCUGUUAACUUUUGAAAUAUUUCUGUUUAAUCAAAUAACGAUAUCCCCAUAGUACCUACCAAAUAAAUACUACGUAUAAUACUCAUAAACAUAAAAUGUCUAUAAAUAGCUCAAAAAUCAAUUUAUUUUGUGAAAGUCAAUUUAAUCUAAAUAUUUGAUUUAGGAUUCAUUUUACUCAUCAGAAAAGUAAUUUUUUUUUAAAACCCAAUUUAUUUUAAAAGUGUAGAAAAUUUCGAAAAAUUUUACAAAUAAAUUAACAUUGGCACAAAAUUCCAGUUAUCUUUCAUGAACAAAUUCACGAAAUCACAAAUCGAAAAAUUGAUUUCCAAUUAAAAAUAUAAAACACACGUAUCUUAGUAAAGGUACUAGGAAAUAAAGUGGUAAUACAUUCCUAAGAAUUUAAAAAUAAUAAUAAUAAAAUUACCUAACCUCAGAGGAGUCUGAGUUAUUUAUCGCGUUCGAUAAAAUUCUCGAUGUACUAGGAAGAACGUAUUAGGAAAAAAACGAUUUAAUAUUGAAAAUGUCUUCCUACAUCAUGCAAUCUGAGACAUGAAUAUUUAAUAAAAAUCGUUCAUCGUCAAUAAUUUCUUGUAUAAUAAUAUUUCUUAUAAAAUAUACCGACCGUUAUUUACGAACGUAAUGUACGCUAUAAAAUAGAUGUCUUACAGCAAUUUUACCAAGUCUUCUAUUUGUACGUCUUCGACAUUUUAUAAUAUAAAAAUAUUAUACCUAUAUACAUCAUAAAUAAUAAUAUGUCAUCAACAAAUACCUAUACUGGAUUACAUCAUUAGCAUUAUUAGAGAGCCUCCUACAGUCUACUCGUUCGGUUUUGUUUAAUAAUACCACGUCAAAAUUAAAACAGUCUUCGUUGUCAUAAAAAUAACAGUAAGCAUACCUAAAUAACGCGUUUCUUUAUACCAUCACCGCCGAGUUUUAAACGAUAAAGCUAUACCGUAAACUUGGGUAAAGUUUAGCAUCAUUUGUGUGGCGGCACAGUGCGCGGCGUUUUAAUAAUGCAUCACUACUCUCCCCCAAACCAUACUUAAAAAUGGAAUAUCUUGAUAAUGGAUUGACGGACAUCAAAAAUUUCAAUACCAAAAUUUAUUUUAACUAAUACUAAAUCUGUUUAUGGAAUUUUAAAUAUGGAUUGCCAUUUGAAAAUCAAAAGUAGGUAGUGGUUUUACCCCUAAAAAUAAGUAGUAUAAAUAGUAAAAAAUAACAUACAUGUAAAAUUUUAGAGUUGCUUGUUUCUUAAGUUUCUUAAUUAAACAGAUUCCGAUAAAAGUUAAUACUCUCCGAGAUAAUAAGUAUCUUACAAUAGACUCUUGAUGGAGUGUGGCGCUCUUGUAUACGAAACAUGGAUAAUCAACUUAAUGGAGAAAAAUAGGCUGGAAGCUUUUGAAAUGUGGUGCUUUAGGAAAAUGCUUAGGAUACCUUAGGAUAAUUUUAAGAUAUCUCGAGAGAGUGACAAAUGAAGUGGUACUAAACAAGAUAAAUGAAAAACGACAGUUAUGAAAAAUAUUCAAUCCAAAAUGCAUAAGAUGAUAGGAAACAUAUUAAGACAUGGAAAUUUAAUAAAGACAAUAAUUGAAGAUAAUAUUUAAGGACACAUGGAACAUCUAGGGCAAAAUACAUAACCUAAAUAAUGAAGGAUAUGAAUAAGGACCUUCAAGAACUAUGUUACAACAGAGAAGCAUAGAGAGCUGCAACAAACUAAUGGUUAGAUUAGGGUAGGUUCCUAAGGAUUAAUAACAAAAGAUUUAGAUAUAGAUUUUAUCAUGAUAUUACUUUGAGUAAUGUUCAAGUAGUGAUUAACAAAAAAUCAUAAUAACCGAAAUGCGGUUGCCGAGGUAGUCCACGGUAGUCACAAUACCCAACACAAGUACCUGUUAUUUUAAAUCUAUAUAAAUAAAAAUGUGAAAAUAUAUAUUAUACUCGUCAUUUUAAUAAAAUGAUUGCCAAGGCUCGGAGCUAUUUACACUUAAAUCUGCAAAGAACGCUUAAAAACGUCAAAAAAGCUCCAAAAAGACCACUUAAGAAUUUUUUUCUAAAAUCUCAAAAUGGUGAGGAACUUUAAAAGAUUGUCCUUCUAACGAUGCUAAUUUAUUAAACAUUAUUUUUGAACACUACACAAAUUAUUAACACGAAGUAAUUUUAUUUUUAAAUACUUGCGUACAAUUUAAUUUAAACAAAAUUAAUAUGUAUAUUGUGUUGUUACUUUUGUAGUGUUGGAAAAUGUUAUUUAUUAAAUUACAGCUGUAGAAGAAAGAACUUUUAAACCGAUUUACAAUUUUGCUUUAAAAAUAAAAUGUCAAGUGCUUUUAGGGCUUCUUUAAAAUUUGUUUGUAAUUUUUAAGUGUUUUAAGUCCGAGUUCUGAUUAUUAUGGGCGUGGGACUUACAGUCCUGAUUAUUACUACAUAGUAAUGUAUAAAAUUAUGUAACAUUAACAAUCUUUCGUUUCAUAUGUUACAGGUAUAUUAACGGAAAGCGAAAACGACACAAACUACAUUCAAUUAUCGUCCGUAUUAAAAAACUACAACGAUGUGUCGAUCGAACCGAUUUUUAACGACCCAUAUAAUAAUAUAACUAACAAAUGUACGAUAACUAUGAUUUACCUAUAUAUGCGUCAAACGCGAAUAACAUUAAUAAUAUAAAUUUUGAGUUCCUAUUAUAUAGAUGAUAAAUGUAGAAAUAAACUCUGG